ACACGACGUCAGAUCGCCAGCUACGAGCCACGGCUCAGGAGCUUGUCGAAAACAUCAUUAAGUGUUCCAGAGAGCUGAUCCUGGAGGAGAUUGAGAGUGCCAUAACAGAUAAGCUUGAUCAGAGACAGGCUCAGGAGUUGACCCAAGCUCACCUGAAAACCAAGCCUGACAUUCCUGCCAGGAAGACGCAGAGGACAAGCCCGGCGCUCUCUCUUCAGCAACUCCCACUGUCACAGACCACAGAUCAGAUGUCCGGCCUGUGUUGUGGAGUCAGGAAGCUGCACAGUGGGAACAAGACAAAGGGGAUACAAGGAUUCCUCUGGAAAGCCCAAAACCUUUUCAGCUGUUCAUCCCAUCUCCCUAAGGAGGAGGGCUAGCCCCACACGAACACACCCACGCUGGCUCUUCAAGACACACAGUUUUAUUCAACAUUUCAUAAAUAAUAAAGUGCU